UACGGAGGGAGCUAGCGUUGUUCGGAAUUACUGGGCGUAAAGCGCGCGUAGGCGGCUUUGUAAGUUAGAGGUGAAAGCCCGGGGCUCAACCCCGGAACUGCCUUUAAGACUGCAUCGCUUGAAUCCAGGAGAGGUGAGUGGAAUUCCGAGUGUAGAGGUGAAAUUCGUAGAUAUUCGGAAGAACACCAGUGGCGAAGGCGGCUACCUGGACCGGUUCUGACACUGAGGAGCGAAAGCGUGGGGAGCGAUCCGG
rnacentral:rRNA from 1 species